rnacentral:lncRNA from 10 species
AAGGGAAGCCUGUCUGAGGUGUUGACAUUGACCAGAGACCUGACUAUUAAGACAGAAGCAACCAUGAAGGGAUCUGAUGUAAGAGCAUUCUAGACCAAGGAACUAGCAGGUAUAUGAAGACCUGAGGCUGGAAAUAUGAGGUUGACACGUUGGCAGAACAGUAAAGAGGCAGAUGAAUUCCAGGAGGCCAGAGAUGAUGUUCUAUCCAGCCAGUCAACAAUUCUCAAGCGGAGUGGCUCUAGAAACUCAGCUCUUGAAAACAUCACGGAGCUUUAUCAGUGAUAAGGCCAAGAGGUUGCAACUACUGUUAUCUUUGGACACACAAAAGAAUCACCUGGUCCAGACUUUGUCUCACCACUGGGCUCUUUCAACUGAUCCCAUUUGAAAGUCUUCAACUCAAUCAGGCUUUGAGAAGCAAAGGACAGUCUGGCAUGGUGGCUCACGUCUGUAAUCC